rnacentral:snRNA from 1 species
UUGAUACAGAGAUUAGCAUGGCCCCUGAGCAAGGAUGACAUGCAAAUUCGUGAAGCGUUCCUUAUUUUU